CCUACGGGAGGCAGCAGUGAGGAAUAUUGGUCAAUGGACGCAAGUCUGAACCAGCCAUGCCGCGUGCAGGAAGACUGCUCUAUGGGUUGUAAACUGCUUUUGUACGAGGGUAAAUCCCGAUACGUGUAUCUGGUUGAAAGUAUCGUACGAAUAAGGAUCGGCUAACUCCGUGCCAGCAGCCGCGGUAAUACGGAGGAUUCAAGCGUUAUCCGGAUUUAUUGGGUUUAAAGGGUGCGUAGGUGGUUCGAUAAGUUAGAGGUGAAAUCCCGGGGCUCAACUCCGGCACUGCCUUUGAUACUGUCGGGCUAGAGUUUAGUUGCGGUAGGCGGAAUGUAUGGUGUAGCGGUGAAAUGCAUAGAGAUCAUACAGAACACCGAUUGCGAAGGCAGCUUACCAAACUACGACUGACGUUGAGGCACGAAAGCGUGGGGAGCAAACAGGAUUAGAUACCCCUGUAGUC
rnacentral:rRNA from 1 species